GGGCCAGUCGAGCGGCGAACGGGUGAGUAACACGUGGAUCAUCUGCCCAGAGGUGGGGGAUAACCCGGGGAAACUCGGGCUAACACCGCAUAUGACCGGAAGGUCAAAGGGGGGUCGCAAGAUCUCUCGCCAUUGGAGGAGUCCGCGUCCGAUUAGCUAGUUGGUAGGGUAAUGGCCUACCAAGGCGACGAUCGGUAGCCGGCCUGAGAGGGUGAUCGGCCACACUGGAACUGAGACACGGUCCAGACUCCUACGGGAGGCAGCAGCGGGGAAUUUUGCGCAAUGGGCUAACGCCUGACGCAGCAACGCCGCGUGGAGGAUGAAGGUCUUUGGAUUGUAAACUCCUGUCAGCAGGGAAAAAGCGACUUAGCCUCAUACGCUAGGGAGUUGAUUGUACCUGCAGAGGAAGCCCCGGCUAACUCUGUGCCAGCAGCCGCGGUAAUACAGAGGGGGCAAGCGUUAUUCGGAAUUAUUGGGCGUAAAGGGCGCGUAGGCGGCCUGGCAAGUGGAAGGUGAAAUCCCUCGGCUUAACCGAGGAACUGCCUUCCAGACUGCUUGGCUUGAGACCAGGAGAGGUGAGUGGAAUUCCCAGUGUAGCGGUGAAAUGCGUAGAUAUUGGGAGGA
rnacentral:rRNA from 1 species